GAUAAGAAAGCAAACAGCCAGCAGAUACAAACGAAGGUCUGUGUAGGGACUCAUGAUAAGCAGUCAAUUAAGAAGUAUCAGCAGUAAGCAUUCCUGGCUAGAGAGAGAGGUCUGGGAGUGGAGAGAGAAAGAAAGAGGGCCCUUGGUGGGGACAGCACUACGUCAUGAGGAGCCAAUGAAGGGCUCAGGACGCAGUGCAUGACCAUAUAGGGAGAGGCGUCUCUAUCCCUCCACUCAGCCUCUGAAGAACAAUAGCAACAUUAAUGUUUUAACGAUACCAAAUAAGGACAAGUUGCCUUCGACGCUACGUCAUGCCAAGCGCUGGCGGGGUCGAAGGGGAAACGCUAACAAAACCCAAGAGCACGCGGCUCUGAGGGUCUUGUCGGGUCUUGUCUUGCGGUUCUUCUUGUCGAGUAGUUAGAGAGUGAUAGCAGCAGCCGACUUGGGCUGAGGGACGGGCUGUAGGCAGGCAGCCAGAGAUGGUCGCUGGAGAGCGUUAGGGCGUAGCCGCGGGACUCUAACGUAUGGUGCUAGGAAAUAUUGCAGAGCUUCUAGUAGGCAGUCGGAACGGUGGAGUCAGUCACUGUCUCUGUAUUAGACUUGGCCUUCCUGUGAAUGCAAUCACCGCGCAGUUAGGGUGAGCUGUAUUCAUUCAGAAUAAACUGCAAUUUGUUAAAGUUA